AGGACGUAGAUGUCGAUUUGGAGGUUGUGCCCUUGAGGCGUGGCUUCCGGAGCUAACGCGUUAAAUCGACCGCCUGGGGAGUACGGCCGCAAGGUUAAAACUCAAAUGAAUUGACGGGGGCCCGCACAAGCGGUGGAGCAUGUGGUUUAAUUCGAUGCAACGCGAAGAACCUUACCUACUCUUGACAUCCAGAGAACUUUCCAGAGAUGGAUUGGUGCCUUCGGGAACUCUGAGACAGGUGCUGCAUGGCUGUCGUCAGCUCGUGUUGUGAAAUGUUGGGUUAAGUCCCGCAACGAGCGCAACCCUUAUCCUUUGUUGCCAGCGGUUCGGCCGGGAACUCAAAGGAGACUGCCAGUGAUAAACUGGAGGAAGGUGGGGAUGACGUCAAGUCAUCAUGGCCCUUACGAGUAGGGCUACACACGUGCUACAAUGGCGUAUACAAAGAGAAGCGACCUCGCGAGAGCAAGCGGACCUCAUAAAGUACGUCGUAGUCCGGAUUGGAGUCUGCAACUCGACUCCAUGAAGUCGGAAUCGCUAGUAAUCGUAGAUCAGAAUGCUACGGUGAAUACGUUCCCGGGCCUUGUACACACCGCCCGUCACACCAUGGGAGUGGGUUGCAAAAGAAGUAGGUAGCUUAACCUUCGGGAGGGCGCUUACCACUUUGUGAUUCAUGACUGGGGUGAAGUCGUAACAGGGAAACCCGUUAA
rnacentral:rRNA from 1 species